GUCGGGUAAGUUCCGACCUGCACGAAUGGCGUAAUGAUGGGGGCGCUGUCUCCACCCGAGACUCAGUGAAAUCGAAAUCGCAGUGAAGAUGCUGUGUACCCGCGGCUAGACGGAAAGACCCCGUGAACCUUUACUAUAGCUUCACAGUGGACUUUGAACCUGUUUGUGUAGGAUAGCUGGGAGACUUUGAAGCAGUGACGCUAGUCAUUGUGGAGUCGUCCUUGAAAUACCAGCCUGGCAUGUUUGAGGUUCUAACCUGGGUCCCUUAUCGGGAUCGGGGACAUUGUGUGGUGGGUAGUUUGACUGGGGCGGUCUCCUCCCAAAGCGUAACGGAGGAGCACAAAGGUGGGCUAAGCAUGGUCGGACAUCAUGCGGUUAGUGUAAUGGCACAAGCCCGCUUAACUGCGAGACAGACACGUCGAGCAGGUACGAAAGUAGGUCAUAGUGAUCCGGUGGUUCUGUAUGGAAGGGCCAUCGCUCAACGGAUAAAAGGUACUCCGGGGAUAACAGGCUGAUACCGCCCAAGAGUUCACAUCGACGGCGGUGUUUGGCACCUCGAUGUCGGCUCAUCACAUCCU
rnacentral:rRNA from 1 species